CAUCCAAAAAUGGAAAGACGUCCUCAAACUCUACCAGGAAUAUAUUCAAUUGAUCUUGAUGCUCCGUCAUCCCCAAUUACUCCGUCAGCGAUGCCCGACUUCGCUGACAAUUGUCAGGAAAUAUUAUUUUCUCCAUUUGGUGUAGAUGAGACA